rnacentral:tRNA from 1 species
CGGGGUGUAGCUCAAUUUGGUAGACCGCGUGGUUUGGGACCACGAUGCUGGGGGUUCAAAUCCCUCCACCCCGACCA